rnacentral:rRNA from 1 species
AACGAACGCUGGCGGCAUGCCUAACACAUGCAAGUCGAACGAGAUCUUCGGGUCUAGUGGCGCACGGGUGCGUAACGCGUGAGAAUCUGCCCUUUGGUUCGGAAUAACAGUUGGAAACGACUGCUCAUACCGGAUGACGACGAAAGUCCAAAGAUUUAUCGCCAGAGGAUGAGCCCGCGUAGGAUUAGCUAGUUGGUGUGGUAAAGGCGCACCAAGGCGACGAUCCUUAGCUGGUCUGAAAAGAUGAUCAGCCACACUGAGACUGAGACACGGCCCAGACUCCUACGGGAGGCAGCAGUGGGGAAUAUUGGACAAUGGGCGAAAGCCUGAUCCAGCAAUGCCGCGUGAGUGAUGAAGGGCUUAGGGUUGUAAAGAUCUUUUACCCGUGAUGAUAAUGACAGUACCGGGAGAAUAAGCGCCGGCUAACUCCGUGCCAGCCGCCGCAGUAA